rnacentral:rRNA from 1 species
UGGGGAAUUUUGGACAAUGGGGGAAACCCUGAUCCAGCCAUGCCGCGUGAGUGAAGAAGGCCUUCGGGUUGUAAACUCCUUUUACAGGGGACGAACACCCGCAAGGGUUUGACAGUACUCUGUGAAUAAGCCACGGCUAACUACGUGCCAGCAGCCGCGGUAAUACAGAGGUCCCAAGCGUUGUUCGGAUUCACUGGGCGUAAAGGGUGCGUAGGCGGUUAGGUAAGUCUGAUGUGAAAUCUCCGGGCUCAACCCGGAAACUGCAUUGGAUACUAUCUAGCUAGAGGUUUGGAGGGGGGACUGGAAUUCUCGGUGUAGCAGUGAAAUGCGUAGAUAUCGAGAGGAACACCAGUGGCGAAGGCGGGUCCCUGGACAACACCUGACGCUGAGGCACGAAAGUCGGGGGAGCAAACAGG